rnacentral:rRNA from 1 species
UACGAGAGGCCCAAACGUUAUUCGGAAUUACUGGGCUUAAAGAGUUCGUAGGCGGCGCGGUAAGUAGGGUGUGAAAGCCCUCGGCUCAACCGAGGAAUUGCGCUCUAAACUACCGUGCUUGAGGAAGCUAGAGGUGAGCGGAACUGAUGGUGGAGCGGUGAAAUGCGUUGAUAUCAUCAGGAACACCGGAGGCGAAGGCGGCUCACUGGGGCUUUUCUGACGCUGAGGAACGAAAGCCAGGGGAGCGAACGGGAUAGAUGACCCGUGUAGUACCCGUAGAAGCCAAC